GGGAAGAGGAAGAUGGAAGAGGCAAAGGAGGAGGAGGAGGAGGAGGAGGAGAGAAAGAGGGAAGAGGAAGAAGGAAGAGGGGGGAGGAGGAGGAGGAAAAGAAAGAGAAAGAGAAGGAGGAGGAAUAGAAGAGAGGAAGAUAAAGAAGAGGAGGAGGAGGAGGAGGAAGAGGAAGAUCAAAUACAUGUAAAACAAAAAACAAAAAACAAAAAAAAAAGAAAGCAAGAUAGAAAAAAAAAACAGGUAUAGAACACGUUUAUCGAGGUCACGCAAGGUCAGGUCAGGUCAGGUCACGUGUGUGUUUGUAUUGUAAGAUGAAACAACUUUUUUUUUCUGAAGACAAUAAAGGUCAGGUGACAGUAAGCAGUUGUU